AUGGGGUGUGGUGGUGUACACCUGAAAUUCCUGCUACUGUGGGAAGUUUAGGCUGGUGAAUUGCUUGAGUUUGGGAGUUCUGGACUGCAGUAGAGCUAAAGGUGAUAGGUUAUCCUCACCAAGUCUAGCAUCAGUAUGGUAAACCCCCAGGAAAAGGGGACUACCAGGCUAGCUAAGAAGAGGUAAGCUGGCUUAGACUGGAAACAGAGCAGGUCAAAACUUUUGUGUCCACCAGCAAUGGGAUUGGGCCCAUAAGUGGCCUCUGUACUUCUAGCAUGAGUGAGAAAGGGAGAAGG
rnacentral:SRP_RNA from 1 species